AAGUCCUGCAUAUUGGGUGACAUGCAUUAGAGUUGAUGACAAGAGGAAACUAAUUGUUCCUCUAUGUUAUGGAUUUGAGCAGAAAAAGGUUGGACCUAUAAGUAUCAACUCAUGGUUUACCAACCAUUUUAUCAUUCUUCUAUUUCAUUUUUAUUUGUUUCUAAUUGGUAUGGUAUUCUCUUAGAAUUUUAAAUCUUCUCUAAACUUGGCUGUCACUUUUUCUUUAGGAGUUCUGAUAUCAAGAAGAAUGCAGUAGGUCUUAUGUUGUGAU